GAUGAACGCUGGCGGCGUGCCUAAUACAUGCAAGUCGAACGAGGUGCUUUUGUAGCAAUACGAGAGUAUCCUAGUGGCGAACGGGUGAGUAACGCGUUGGUGACCUACCCCAAAGUGUGGAAUAACAGUCCGAAAGGAUUGCUAAUACCGCAUGUGGUUAUCGGGUUUAGAAACUGAUAACUAAAGGAGCAAUUCGCUUUGGGAGGGACCUGCGUCCCAUCAGCCAGUUGGUGAGGUAAUGGCUCACCAAGGCUACGACGGGUAGGGGACCUGAGAGGGUGACCCCCCACAAUGGAACUGAAACACGGUCCAUACACCUACGGGUGGCAGCAGUAGGGAAUAUUGCACAAUGGGCGAAAGCCUGAUGCAGCAACGCCGCGUGCACGAUGAAGGCCUUCGGGUCGUAAAGUGCUUUUCUGGGAGAUGAGAAAGGACAGUAUCCCAGGAAUAAGUCUCGGCUAACUACGUG
rnacentral:rRNA from 1 species